rnacentral:rRNA from 1 species
AACGAACGCUGGCGGCAGGCUUAACACAUGCAAGUCGAACGCCCCGCAAGGGGAGUGGCAGCCGGGUGAGUAACGCGUGGGAACAUACCCUUUCCUGCGGAAUAGCUCCGGGAAACUGGAAUUAGUACCGCAUACGCCCUACGGGGGAAAGAUUUAUCGGGGAAGGAUUGGCCCGCGUUGGAUUAGCUAGUUGGUGGGGUAAAGGCCUACCAAGGCGACGAUCCAUAGCUGGUCUGAGAGGAUGAUCAGCCACAUUGGGGCUGAGACACGGCCCAAACUCCUACGGGAGGCAGCAGUGGGGAAUAUUGGACAAUGGGCGCAAGCCUGAUCCAGCCAUGCCGCGUGAGUGAUGAAGGCCUUAGGGUUGUAAAGCUCUUUCACCGAUGAAGAUAAUGACGGUAGUCGGAGAAGAAGCCCCGGCUAACUUCGUG